GUAUAGGCCCUUUUAAGGGCCAUAUGUAGUCUUAUAAGCUUUUGUU
rfam:Babesia sp. Xinjiang scaffold6, whole genome shotgun sequence.